rnacentral:rRNA from 1 species
GACAGGUGCUGCAUGGCUGUCGUCAGCUCGUGUCGUGAGAUGUUGGGUUAAGUCCCGCAACGAGCGCAACCCUUGCCUUUAGUUGCCAGCAGUUCGGCUGGGCACUCUAAAGGGACUGCCGGUGUUAAACCGGAGGAAGGUGGGGAUGACGUCAAGUCCUCAUGGCCUUUAUGACCAGGGCUACACACGUACUACAAUGGCCGAUACAAAGGGCAGCGACACUGCGAGGUGAAGCCAAUCCCAUAAAAUCGGUCUCAGUCCGGAUUGGAGUCUGCAACUCGACUCCAUGAAGUUGGAAUCGCUAGUAAUCGUGGAUCAGCAUGCCACGGUGAAUACGUUCCCGGGCCUU